GGGCCCGCACAAGCGGUGGAGCAUGUGGUUUAAUUCGAUGAUACGCGAGGAACCUUACCAGGGCUUAAAUGUAGUCUGACAGGGGUGGAAACACCCCCUCCUUCGGGCAGAUUACAAGGUGCUGCAUGGUUGUCGUCAGCUCGUGCCGUGAGGUGUCAGGUUAAGUCCUAUAACGAGCGCAACCCCUGCCGUUAGUUGCCAGCAUGUAAUGAUGGGAACUCUAACGGGACUGCCGGUGCAAACCGCGAGGAAGGUGGGGAUGACGUCAAAUCAUCACGGCCCUUACGUCCUGGGCUACACACGUGCUACAAUGGCCGGUACAGAGGGCAGCCACACCGCAAGGUGGAGCGAAUCCCAUAAACCGUGGCUCAGUUCAGAUCGUAGGCUGCAACUCGCCUACGUGAAGGCGGAAUCGCUAGUAAUCGCAGGU
rnacentral:rRNA from 1 species